GAUGAACGCUGGCGGCGUGCCUAAUACAUGCAAGUCGAGCGAACGGACGAGAAGCUUGCUUCUCUGAUGUUAGCGGCGGACGGGUGAGUAACACGUGGAUAACCUACCUAUAAGACUGGGAUAACUUCGGGAAACCGGAGCUAAUACCGGAUAAUAUUUUGAACCGCAUGGUUCAAAAGUGAAAGACGGUCUUGCUGUCACUUAUAGAUGGAUCCGCGCUGCAUUAGCUAGUUGGUAAGGUAACGGCUUACCAAGGCAACGAUGCCUAGCCGACCUGAGAGGGUGAUCGGCCACACUGGAACUGAGACACGGUCCAGACUCCUACGGGAGGCAGCAGUAGGGAAUCUUCCGCAAAGGGCGAAAGCCUGACGGAGCAACGCCGCGUGAGUGAUGAAGGUCUUCGGAUCGUAAAACUCUGUUAUUAGGGAAGAACAUAUGUGUAAGUAACUGUGCACAUCUUGACGGUACCUAAUCAGAAAGCCACGGCUAACUACGUG
rnacentral:rRNA from 1 species